rnacentral:rRNA from 1 species
AUGUCGCCGGUGAUCAGCGAGAUCCUCCUCUCGGGGUUUAUGAUCAACUCCACACUCCGGCGCCGAACCCACCUCGUCCAGUCCUUCUCCGUCGUCUUCCUCUACUGGUUCUAUGUCUUCUCAUAA